rnacentral:tRNA from 1 species
AGUCCAAUGGUGUUACCAUGUGGGGUUGCAAACCCCGAGAGGCAGGCGGGAGCCUGCUUGGACUU